AUUGAACGCUGGCGGCAGGCCUAACACAUGCAAGUCGAACGGUAACAGGAAGCAGCUUGCUGCUUGCUGACGAGUGGCGGACGGGUGAGUAAUGUCUGGGAAACUGCCUGAUGGAGGGGGAUAACUACUGGAAACGGUAGCUAAUACCGCAUAACGUCGCAAGACCAAAGAGGGGGACCUUCGGGCCUCUUGCCAUCAGAUGUGCCCAGAUGGGAUUAGCUUGUUGGUGGGGUAACGGCUCACCAAGGCGACGAUCCCUAGCUGGUCUGAGAGGAUGACCAGCCACACUGGAACUGAGACACGGUCCAGACUCCUACGGGAGGCAGCAGUGGGGAAUAUUGCACAAUGGGCGCAAGCCUGAUGCAGCCAUGCCGCGUGUAUGAAGAAGGCCUUCGGGUUGUAAAGUACUUUCAGCGGGGAGGGAGGUGUUGUGGUUAAUAACCACAGCAAUUGACGUUACCCGCAGAAGAAGCACCGGCUAACUCCGUGCCAGCCGCCGC
rnacentral:rRNA from 1 species